rnacentral:sRNA from 1 species
UCCUCGAUCUGCUGCGGGCAGAUGAAAUGGAUGUGGCUGUCGAACCCGCCGGCGGUGAGAAUCUUCCCCUCCCCGGCGAUGAUCUCCGUGCCGGGGCCGAUGAUGAUGUCCACGCCCGCCUGCACGUCGGGGUUGCCGGCCUUGCCGAUGCGGGCGAUGCGCCCGUUCUUCAGGCCCACGUCGGCCUUCACCACACCCCAGUGGUCGAGGAUGACGGCAUUGGUGAUGACCGUAUCCAUCGCCCCGUCGGCAUUGGUGACCUGCGACUGGCCCAUGCCGUCGCGGA